rnacentral:rRNA from 1 species
UACGGAGGGUGCAAGCGUUAUCCGGAUUCACUGGGUUUAAAGGGUGCGUAGGUGGGCAGGUAAGUCAGUGGUGAAAUCUCCGAGCUUAACUCGGAAACUGCCAUUGAUACUAUCUGUCUUGAAUUAUCUGGAGGUGAGCGGAAUAUGUCAUGUAGCGGUGAAAUGCGUAGAGAUCUGGAAGAACACCGAAGGCGAAGGCAGCGUCCUGGGAAGUCACUGACGCUCAUGUGCGAAAGCCAGGGGAGCGAACGGG